UACGGGGGGGGCAAGCGUUGUUCGGAAUUACUGGCGUAAAGGGCUGGUAGGCGGCCAACUAAGUCGGAUGUGAAAUCCCCAGGCUUAACCUGGGAACUGCAUCCGAUACUGGUCGGCUUGAAUCCGGGAGAGGGAUGCAGAAUUCCAGGUGUAGCGGUGAAAUGCGUAGAUAUCUGGAGGAAUACCGGUGGCGAAGGCGGCAUCCUGGACCGGCAUUGACGCUGAACAGCGAAAGCUAGGGGAGCAAACGGG
rnacentral:rRNA from 1 species